UUGCUCACUUUGGUAGCACAUAUACUGACAUUAGAACAAUACAGAGAAGAUUAGCAUGGCCCCUGUGCAAGGAUGACACGCGUAUUAGUAAUGAGAGAGCCCAGACCUGG